UACUGAUUGGCAGUGUUCCUUUUAGUAUAAAAUGAAGAGAAAAAGAUGUAGCAUAAAUUUAGGUAUCUUGCUAAAAAUGAAUUGAGAAAUAUUUAAUCAUAUUUUAUUCAAUAUGGGUACAAUAUCUGAACUGGGUUCAGAUUUAUGCUGUUGUUAUAAAUCAACAGUAUAGUUCUUAAAAACCAAAUUUUUGAUUGAUUGGACUACAGUGGUACAUAAUAUUGAGUUAUUGAUAAGAAAUUCAAACCCAUUUUUGAGAGAAUAUUUUGCAGAAAUCAUUCUGACAGCUGAUUGAGGAGACUUUGUCCGGUAAACUGUAACCUCUAUUUCUGCACUCCCAGGAGGCAAUAGUCCCUAGAGUCAGGGAAUAAAAGGUCAAAGUCUAGCUCUGCCACUCCCUAGGGCACAACCAGGGAUCAUCUCAGCUUCUUCAUCUGAGACCUGAGGAAGAGAAUCGUAUCUCCCUCAGAGGAUCGUCGAGAGACAUUUUGCAUAGUGGCUGGCACAGAAUUGAAGAAAAUGUUCACAGAAGGAAGUGAGAUGAUUAAUUGAUUCCGAGGGCCUGUAGCAACUCUGUUUAACAUGCUAGAUGAGCCAGUCUUAUUCAAUGAUGUCUAAGGAUCUAGAGAAAACGGGUCUCAGGAUGGUCUUCUUCCCACCUCCUUUCAGUUGGCCUGCAGUGAACAGGAUAUGUCACUGUAUGCUGGUCACUGGAAGAUAGUGACUAGAACUUCCAGUAAUAUGCUGAAUAAUAGUGCUGAAAACGGAUUUCCUUGCCUUGUUCCUGAUCUUAGAGUGAAGCAUUUAGCCUUUCACCAUUAUGUAUUACAUAGAUAUUGUUUCUUCGUGUGUGUGUGUAAUUUUUUGUUAUGAGAUUAAGGAAGUUCCACUCUAUUCCUAGUGUAUUGAAAGUUUUUAUAAUGAAUGGUGUUAAAUUUUGUCAAAUGCUUUUUCUGAGCCAAUUGAUAUACUCACAUGACUUUUUUCUUUAGUUUAUUAAUAUUAUGGAUGAUAAUGAUGGAUUUUUGAAUAUUAAACUGUCCUUACAUACCUAGAAUAAAUUCCACUUGGUUGUGGUAUAUUACUAUUUU
rnacentral:lncRNA from 13 species